CGGUGCCUACGGGAGGCAGCAGUAGGGAAUCUUCCACAAUGGGCGAAAGCCUGAUGGAGCAACGCCGCGUGGGUGAAGAAGGACUUCGGACCGUAAAACCCUGUUGUUAGAGAAGAAAGUGCGUGAGAGUAACUGUUCACGUUUCGACGGUAUCUAACCAGAAAGCCACGGCUAACUACGUGCCAGCAGCCGCGGUAAUACGUAGGUGGCAAGCGUUAUCCGGAUUUAUUGGGCGUAAAGGGAACGC
rnacentral:rRNA from 1 species